rnacentral:rRNA from 1 species
UUGAUUACGUCCCUGCCCUUUGUACACACCGCCCGUCGCUGCCCGGGACUGAGCCAUUUCGAGAAACUUGGGGACCGCUGGCUUGUGGCACUCGUUGUUGCAUGUCGGUGGAAACCAAUUUAAUCGCAGUGGCUUGAACCGGGCAAAAGUCGUAACAAGGUAGCUGUAGGUGAACCUGCUGCUGGAUCAUU